rnacentral:rRNA from 1 species
UAACACUAACUGGAGGACCGAACCGACUAAUGUUGAAAAAUUAGCGGAUGACCUGUGGCUGGGGGUGAAAGGCCAAUCAAACCGGGAGAUAGCUGGUUCUCCCCGAAAGCUAUUUAGGUAGCGCCUCGUGAACUCAUCUCCGGGGGUAGAGCACUGUUUCGGCUAGGGGGCCAUCCCGGCUUACCAACCCGAUGCAAACUGCGAAUACCGGAGAAUGUUAUCACGGGAGACACACGGCGGGUGCUAACGUCCGUCGUGAAGAGGGAAACAACCCAGACCGCCAGCUAAGGUCCCAAAGUCAUGGUUAAGUGGGAAACGAUGUGGGAAGGCCCAGACAGCCAGGAUGUUGGCUUAGAAGCAGCCAUCAUUUAAAGAAAGCGUAAUAGCUCACUGGUCGAGUCGGCCUGCGCGGAAGAUGUAACGGGGCUAAACCAUGCACCGAAGCUGCGGCAGCGACACUAUGUGUUGUUGGGUAGGGGAGCGUUCUGUAAGCCUGCGAAGGUGUGCUGUGAGGCAUGCUGGAGGUAUCAGAAGUGCGAAUGCUGACAUAAGUAACGAUAAAGCGGGUGAAAAGCCCGCUCGCCGGAAGACCAAGGGUUCCUGUCCAACGUUAAUCGGGGCAGGGUGAGUCGACCCCUAAGGCGAGGCCGAAAGGCGUAGUCGAUGGGAAACAGGUUAAUAUUCCUGUACUUGGUGUUACUGCGAAGGGGGGACGGAGAAGGCUAUGUCAGCCGGGCGACGGUCGUCCCGGUUUAAGCGUGUAGGCUGACUUUCCAGGCAAAUCCGGAAAGUUAAGGCUGAGGCGUGAUGACGAGGCACCACGGUGCUGAAGUGACAAAUGCCCUGCUUCCAGGAAAAGCCUCUAAGCAUCAGGUAACAUCAAAUCGUACCCCAAACCGACACAGGUGGUCAGGUAGAGAAUACCAAGGCGCUUGAGAGAACUCGGGUGAAGGAACUAGGCAAAAUGGUGCCGUAACUUCGGGAGAAGGCACGCUGACAUGUAGGUGAAGCCCCUGCGGGUGGAGCUGAAGUCAGUCGAAGAUACCAGCUGGCUGCAACUGUUUAUUAAAAACACAGCACUGUGCAAACACGAAAGUGGACGUAUACGGUGUGACGCCUGCCCGGUGCCGGAAGGUUAAUUGAUGGGGUUAUCGCAAGAGAAGCUCCUGAUCGAAGCCCCGGUAAACGGCGGCCGUAACUAUAACGGUCCUAAGGUAGCGAAAUUCCUUGUCGGGUAAGUUCCGACCUGCACGAAUGGCGUAAUGAUGGCCAGGCUGUCUCCACCCGAGACUCAGUGAAAUUGAACUCGCUGUGAAGAUGCAGUGUACCCGCGGCAAGACGGAAAGACCCCGUGAACCUUUACUACAGCUUGACACUGAACAUUGAGCCUUGAUGUGUAGGAUAGGUGGGAGGCUUUGAAGCGUGGACGCCAGUCUGCGUGGAGCCAACCUUGAAAUACCACCCUUUAAUGUUUGAUGUUCUAACCUGGCGCCGUGAUCCGGCGUGGGGACAGUGUCUGGUGGGUAGUUUGACUGGGGCGGUCUCCUCCCAAAGUGUAACGGAGGAGCACGAAGGUCAGCUAAUCCUGGUCGGACAUCAGGAGGUUAGUGCAAUGGCAUAAGCUGGCUUGACUGCGAGAGUGACGGCUCGAGCAGGUGCGAAAGCAGGUCAUAGUGAUCCGGUGGUUCUGUAUGGAAGGGCCAUCGCUCAACGGAUAAAAGGUACUCCGGGGAUAACAGGCUGAUACCGCCCAAGAGUUCAUAUCGACGGCGGUGUUUGGCACCUCGAUGUCGGCUCAUCACAUCCUGGGGCUGAAGUAGGUCCCAAGGGUAUGGCUGUUCGCCAUUUAAAGUGGUACGCGAGCUGGGUUUAGAACGUCGUGAGACAGUUCGGUCCCUAUCUGCCGUGGGCGCUGGAGAAUUGAGGGGGGCUGCUCCCAGUACGAGAGGACCGGAGUGGACGCAUCACUGGUGUUCGGGUUGUCAUGCCAAUGGCACUGCCCGGUAGCUAAAUGCGGAAGAGAUAAGUGCUGAAAGCAUCUAAGCACGAAACUUGCCCCGAGAUGAGUUCUCCCUGAGACUGUAAGUCUCCUGAAGGAACGUUGAAGACGACGACGUUGAUA